rnacentral:misc_RNA from 1 species
AACGCACGAGACCUGCGGACCUGCGGAAGGAUCAUCAACAAAUCUAUUUUAUGCUGGAGGAAUCCGGCGUAUAUACCAAUGUGAAUUGGGACGGCGAGUGUCUCUGGGGAUGCGCGAGUGUCUCUGGGGAUGAGCGUCUCUGAUUUUUGUUCUGUGGAGCAAAAAUAUAAGCGAGUAACCUAGAGUCUGAUUAUAUAAAAUAAUCUAAACAACUUUCAGCAAUGGAUCUCUAGAUCGGAA